UACGGAGGGGGCUAGCGUUGUUCGGAAUUACUGGGCGUAAAGCGCACGUAGGCGGCUUUGUAAGUUAGAGGUGAAAGCCCGGGGCUCAACUCCGGAACUGCCCUUAAGACUGCAUCGCUAGAAUUGUGGAGAGGUAAGUGGAAUUCCGAGUGUAGAGGUGAAAUUCGUAGAUAUUCGGAAGAACACCAGUGGCGAAGGCGACUUACUGGACACAUAUUGACGCUGAGGUGCGAAAGCGUGGGGAGCAAACAGG
rnacentral:rRNA from 1 species